rnacentral:rRNA from 1 species
UUGCCCUACGGGAGGCAGCAGUGGGGGAUAUUGCACAAUGGGGGAAACCCUGAUGCAGCGACGCCGCGUGUGGGAAGACGGUCCUCUGGAUUGUAAACCACUGUCCCCAGGGACGAAGAUGACGGUACCUGGGGAGGAAGCCCCGGCUAACUACGUGCCAGCAGCCGCGGUAAUACGUAGGGGGCGAGCGUUAUCCGGAUUCACUGGGUGUAAAGGGAGCGUAGACGGCCAUGCAAGCCAGGGGUGAAAGCCCGGGGCCCAACCCCGGGACUGCCCUUGGAACUGCAUGGCGGGAGUGCGGGAGG